rnacentral:rRNA from 1 species
AGAGUUUGAUCCUGGCUCAGGAUGAACGCUAGCUACAGGCUUAACACAUGCAAGUCGAGGGGAAACGAUAUUGGAAGCUUGCUUCCGAUAGGCGUCGACCGGCGCACGGGUGAGUAACGCGUAUCCAACCUGCCCAUCACUUGGGAAUAACCUUGCGAAAGUAAGACUAAUGCCCAAUGACAUUUAUAGAAGGCAUCCGAAAUGAAUUAAAGAUUUAUCGGUGAUGGAUGGGGAUGCGUCUGAUUAGCUUGUUGGCGGGGUAACGGCCCACCAAGGCGACGAUCAGUAGGGGUUCUGAGAGGAAGGUCCCCCACAUUGGAACUGAGACACGGUCCAAACUCCUACGGGAGGCAGCAGUGAGGAAUAUUGGUCAAUGGGCGAGAGCCUGAACCAGCCAAGUAGCGUGCAGGAUGACGGCCCUAUGGGUUGUAAACUGCUUUUAUAGGGGAAUAAAGUGAGCCACGUGUGGUUUUUUGCAUGUACCCUAUGAAUAAGGACCGGCUAAUUCCGUGCCAGCAGCCGCGGUAAUACGGAAGGUCCGGGCGUUAUCCGGAUUUAUUGGGUUUAAAGGGAGCGUAGGCCGGAGAUUAAGCGUGUUGUGAAAUGUAGAUGCUCAACAUCUGCACUGCAGCGCGAACUGGUUUCCUUGAGUACGCAUAAAGUGGGCGGAAUUCGUGGUGUAGCGGUGAAAUGCUUAGAUAUCACGAAGAACUCCGAUUGCGAAGGCAGCUCACUGGGGCGCAACUGACGCUGAAGCUCGAAAGCGCGGGUAUCGAACAGGAUUAGAUACCCUGGUAGUCCGCGCGGUAAACGAUGGAUGCCCGCUGUUGGGCCAACUGGUUCAGCGGCCAAGCGAAAGCAUUAAGCAUCCCACCUGGGGAGUACGC